UUUUCUUUUCUUUUCUCUCUUCUUCUUCCUUCCCGUUCGCAGCAACCGCCGCGCUUCUUCUCUUCUUCUCUCCGUUCCGUCCAAACCCAGCCGAACGUCGCUGCAACCGUCGGCCAGUUCGCGAAGCAAGCCGUACGCGUCACCUUGCGGCAGUCGUCCAGAUCUGCACCGCCAGACCGAGCCGUCCACCGGGUUCGUCUGUUUCUGUCGCCGUUCACCGAAGCCGAACCCAACCGCCACCCUUUCUUUUCUUCUUCGAUUCAAAACUGCCGCUGCAACCGUCGGCCACCGCGUGACCUCUGCCCAGCGCCGCGCACCUCUGUCUCCGCGCCGUUGCUCUGUCUCCGUCGAAGCCAAGCCCAGCUGCUGUCUCUAUCUCCGUUCGCGAAGCAAAUCGCACGCCUCUUUCACGAACAGCCUCGUCGACGCAGGUCACGCCGCAUCGCACGAGUUCGGCUACGUUGCCGGGCUACUCCCGUCCGCGCGUAACUGCUGUUGAACGUCCGAACCGUUCUGCCUUCGUCGAUACCCGCUGUCCCAUUUACGAAUGGCGGACCGGUUCGCGUGCAGAAGUGUUUUGCACGAUUUCUUUUGUGUAGAUCCUGCGGCAACUUCUAUUUAACGUCUAUUGUCAAAGUCUUGUUACAAGAUAUUGGCGACAUCGAUGAUUUGGAGUUAGUGUCCUUGAGUUACGCCUUAAGCUUUGUUGGAGUUCGAUUCUUUACUCUUUGGGGUUUGUUUGUUGAAAUUAGUUCGACCAAGGAAUUUUACAUAAAAAUCGAGGCAAAGGUAAUAAAGGUGGCAAACCGGCGAGAGGCAUGAAGGAAGCGUGAUUG